GGAAUAUUGGUCAAUGGGCGUAAGCCUGAACCAGCCAAGUAGCGUGCAGGACGACGGCCCUAUGGGUUGUAAACUGCUUUUAUACGGGGAUAAAGUCGCCCACGUGUGGGUGUUUGUAGGUACCGUAUGAAUAAGGACCGGCUAAUUCCGUGCCAGCAGCCGCGGUAAUACGGAAGGUCCGGGCGUUAUCCGGAUUUAUUGGGUUUAAAGGGAGCGCAGGCCGAAGAUUAAGCGUGACGUGAAAUGUCCCGGCUCAACCGGGGAGUUGCGUCGCGAACUGGUUUCCUUGAGUGAGUACGACGUCAGCGGAAUUCGUGGUGUAGCGGUGAAAUGCUUAGAUAUCACGAAGAACCCCGAUUGCGAAGGCAGCUGACGAGUCCUUUACUGACGCUAAAGCUCGAAGGUGCGGGUAUCGAACA
rnacentral:rRNA from 1 species